UACGUAGGUGGCAAGCGUUGUCCGGAUUUAUUGGGUUUAAAGGGUGCGUAGGCGGUUCCUUAAGUCAGUGGUGAAAUACAGCCGCUUAACGGUUGAGGUGCCAUUGAUACUGGGGAACUUGAGUACAGACGAGGUAGGCGGAAUUGACGGUGUAGCGGUGAAAUGCAUAGAUAUCGUCAAGAACACCGAUAGCGAAGGCAGCUUACUAGACUGUAACUGGCGCUGAUGCACGAAAGUGUGGGGAUCAAACAGG
rnacentral:rRNA from 1 species